rnacentral:lncRNA from 1 species
UUUUUUUCAAAAAAUUCGACAAAGUUUAAACGCAGACCGCGAGGAAGACCAAAAUUGAACAGUUACGCAAAACUAAAUAUCUACGUUACCGCUUGCUCAUUAUGGAAGUGGGGUAACAUGAGACUUUAUUUGUAAAAGUACAAGUACAAAUAAAAAAAAAUUGUGUACAUGUACAUGUUAUUUGUACAAAAGUUGGCUGAUAGAAUGAUAAAUGGAGAUAUGUGAUAUGCAAUUUAUAAGAUAGCAACAGCUGGGCAUUAAUUAAACUGACAUCAACACCUUGAAGACAUCAAGAAAAUCGUGACUAAUGCUAAUUGGAAUAGUAUCUUUACACUUCUUAUUUGUAGUUUUAGUAAACGUUGGAAAAUUUUGAGUAUGUGUAGUAUAAUUGUCACAGUAACAUUUCAGUCUCUUGGUAAAUAUUAGUUUAAGUCUUAAAACUUUUGCUCUUCUCUAGAAAAUUCAAACCAUAAUGAAAUAUAAGGAGAUGCGGUAAAAUUUCCAAUUAAUCAACUUUCCACCAAAGACGAAAUGACGGAAAUGCUAGCCUUCUUACAUUGCUACUACAUUUCAGAUCUCCAAAUUACCAUUCCAUUAUAUGAACUGCAUAUUCAAAAAUAUGCAUUGUCACCAAAUUACUUAUAGAGCACGUAUCAUCAUAUUGUUUAACAUUUGUCCGUUCGACCGUUAAUCCCGCACUUAGUAUAUAUAGGGUUAAUUCGGCUAAUUAUUUAGGACUACAGUCGUUUUGCUUCAGCUUUAAAACUAUGUACCUGGUGUUACUACUCAUAUUAUAGGUGCGCAUAUCGUCUGGAUUUUCUUUUUUGUUUCAUGACAGGUUGCUGGAUUAGGCAUUUUGAUAAAAUACAAAGGCACACAGAGUACAGACUCCGGCUUACAUCUGAUACAGGUUGAAUUUCAAGCUGGAACUUUUAAAUUUCGCAGUUGUUUUACUUAUAUAAAGAAUGCAUAUAUGAUCUCAAGAUUUGUUAUGUAAAUAAUUUUUUCACAAAUGACAGAAUGUUGAAAUUUGUGAAAUUUUGCAUACAGUUUGCUAACCCGAAUAAUUCAGUCCCUCCCCGUAAUCGAUCUCUCCUACUUACUUAAUGUAGUAAGCGGAAUAUAACGACUGAAUUAUUCGGGUUAACAGUUUGCAAGGUUUGUCCGACUUGCUGAGCAAACAAGUAACACAUUUACACCACGCA